ACAAUGGGAAGAAAGCAACAACAAUUGGAAGAAAGCAAUGGAUGAGGAGAUUCAUGACAUUGAGAAGAAUGACACAUGGGAGCUGACAGAUUUACCAGCAGAUAAGAAGCC